CAGUAGCCACGGGAAUACGUAGGGUGCAAGCGUUAAUCGGAAUUACUGGGCGUAAAGCGUGCGCAGGCGGUUAUAUAAGACAGAUGUGAAAUCCCCGGGCUCAACCUGGGAACUGCAUUUGUGACUGUAUAGCUAGAGUACGGCAGAGGGGGAUGGAAUUCCGCGUGUAGCAGUGAAAUGCGUAGAUAUGCGGAGGAACACCGAUGGCGAAGGCAAUCCCCUGGGCCUGUACUGACGCUCAUGCACGAAAGCGUGGGGAGCAAACAGGAUUAGAUACCCCCGUAGUCCCUGUCUCUUAUAC
rnacentral:rRNA from 1 species